UACGUAGGGUGCAGGCGUUAAUCGGAAUUACUGGGCGUAAAGCGUGCGCAGGCGGUUUCUUAAGUCAGAUGUGAAAGCCCCGGGCUUAACCUGGGAACUGCGUUUGAAACUGGGAGACUUGAGUGUGGCAGAGGGGGGUGGAAUUCCACGUGUAGCAGUGAAAUGCGUAGAUAUGUGGAGGAACACCGAUGGCGAAGGCAGCCCCCUGGGUUAACACUGACGCUCAUGCACGAAAGCGU
rnacentral:rRNA from 1 species